UUCUUUAGUGUUGAAAUUGGUAUGGAGACGUGGAUGGAGAUUUGAGUCUUAGGAAUUUGGGAAGAGCUCAAGUGAUUCAGAAUGAAAAGACCUUGGCACAGACCUGUUAAGGAAGCUCCAUAUAAGGUGAAGAAAACAACAUGCUCAGCCAUGUCCUUGCCUUCUGCACACGGUAGUGCAUUCACUGCCUGAGAAUUCAAGGCUAAAACAAAAAGAGGAGCUUUUGUUCCAACAGAUAAGUACUUACCUUUUUCAAAAAAUGCAUAAGCUGUCCUGGGUGUUUAGCAGUUAUUCACACAGCUUUCCAAAGACUCACAGCAUUUAAAAGCUAACUCUACAGAGAUUCAACAGCUUCUUCCAGAUCCCACCACAGUGGAAAAGAACUCCGGUGUCCUGGCUCCCUGUCCAGCUCUUCUCUCUCCCCUUCCAGCUGCCAGUUCAGCUUUAAGAAGUUCAUUCUCCACAUUCAGAUGCAGGCAAAUGCGUUUGACUUGAGCAUAUUGAUUUCAGGCAGGUGAGAGUGGAUGUAGCGAUUCAGC
rnacentral:antisense_RNA from 1 species